rnacentral:rRNA from 1 species
AACGAACGCUGGCGGCGCGCUUAACACAUGCAAGUCGAAUGCCCAUCUUCGGAUGGGAGUGGCGGACGGGUGAGUAACGCGUGGGAACCUGCCCUGAGGUCUGGGACAACCGUGGGAAACCGCGGCUAAUACCGGAUGUCUCCUACGGGAGAAAGGCUUGCCGCCUUGGGAGGGGCCCGCGUUGGAUUAGCUUGUUGGUGGGGUAAAGGCCUACCAAGGCUGCGAUCCAUAGCUGGUCUGAGAGGAUGAUCAGCCACACUGGGACUGAGACACGGCCCAG